GGACCCGACUGCUAUUUGGGUGAGAAUAAGCCAUGCGAGUUGAAUGGGAUACCUAAAGUUCCCAUAGCAAACUGCUCAGUAACACAUGAUCAACUUACCCUAUAGAGAAAAAUAACCUCGGGAAACUGAGGAUAAUGUUUCAUAAUUGAAUUGGCUUGGAAAAGUUUUUCAAUGAAAAGGAUAAAAAGAAUGGUUUUUAUCUGCUAUAGGAUAGGAUCGUGUUCGAUUAUGGUUGUUGGUGAGAUAAUGGCUCACCAAGCCGAUAAUCGAUAGGGGCCGUGAGAGCGGGAGCCCCGAGAUGGGUACUGAGACAACGACCCAGGCCUUACGAGGCGCAGCAGGCGCGGAACCUCCGCAAUACACGAAAGUGUGACGGGGUUACCCAAAGUGUUCAAUAGAACUGUGGUAGGUGAGUAAUGUCCCCUACUAGAAAGGAGAGGGCAAGGCUGGUGCCAGCCGCCGCGGUAAAACCAGCUCUUCAAGUGGUCGGGAUAAUUAUUGGGCUUAAAGUGUCCGUAGCCGGUUUAGUAAGUUCCUGGUAAAAUCGGGUAGCUUAACUAUCUGCAUGCUAGGAAUACUGCUAUACUAGAGGGCGGGAGAGGUCUGAGGUACUACAGGGGUAGGGGUGAAAUCUUAUAAUCCUUGUAGGACCACCAGUGGCGAAGGCGUCAGACUGGAACGCGCCUGACGGUGAGGGACGAAAGCCAGGGGAGCGAACCGGAUUAGAUACCCGGGUAGUCCUGGCCGUAAACGAUGCAUACUAGGUGAUGGUACGGCCAUGAGCCGUAUCAGUGCCGUAGGGAAACCGUUAAGUGUGCCGCCUGGGUAGUACGGUCGCAAGGCUAAAACUUAAAGGAAUUGGCGGGGGAGCACCACAAGGGGUGAAGCCUGCGGUUCAAUUGGACUCAACGCCGGGAAACUUACCAGGGGAGACAGCAGUAUGACGGUCAGGUUGACGACCUUACCCGACGAGCUGAGAGGAGGUGCAUGGCCGUCGCCAGUUCGUGCCGUGAGGUAUCCUGUUAAGUCAGGCAACGAACGAGAUCCGCACCUUUAUUUGCCAACAAGAAGUCACGACUUCGUUGGGAACACUAAAGGGACCGCCGUCGAUAAGACGGAGGAAGGAGCGGGCAAAGGCAGGUCAGUAUGCCCCGAAACCCCUGGGCUACACGCGGGCUGCAAUGGUAUGAACAAUGGGCUGUGACUCCAAAGGAGAA
rnacentral:rRNA from 1 species